UAUGGCUUUCCGUACGCACCCCCCUGUUUGCCGUACAGGUUACAAGAUGGCUGCGUUGAUACGAUUUGGAAUAAUAGCCUUACCUGGGCAGGGAGCCUGAGCUGGGGGCUGAGGCGGUACUGAAACUCCCAGAGGCCCUAGACAGCUACACGACCCUGCCCCACUGGGAUCUGAACAAGCCGUCCAUCCAUGUGUGACCCACGCCCAGGUACAGCAUAGCUGCUACAUCGAGGCUAACGACGUCUGUGAGUCCGAGGGCUUACCCAGUGCUGCCUUCUCCCCUGGACGGGGAACGGUGGUGACGGGAGCUCCGCAGGGAGGGGCUCUCACCAGAGGAGACGAGUAGGUAGGCAGCCCUGAUGCUGGAGUGCCGAUACCCAGCAGGUUUUCCAUCCUACCUGGUUUCUGAUGAGCCGCACCUGACGUCAGACAGAUAGUAACUCUCAGGCAUUGAGGUGUUCCACAAGACCCUGGAGCUCACCGAGGCUGGGGACCACCUGGGGGGCGCUGGUGAGGGGGCUGAAGAGGGGUGACGUGAGGAGGGGGAUGGUCGUGUGCAAGGCUCCAUCACGCCGCACGAGACGGUGCAGGCAGAGGUGCGUCUCCGGGGCAUUUGGUCGUGGAGUGACGGAGUGAGCGAUGGUGAGUUUACUUAGCUCGGAUGUGAUGGAGAUGGCCUUCGCCUGCUGUGUAAGUGACCAGAACAGGAUGCACAGUGACUGAGCGGAUGAGGAUUAAAUAUGUUUAAGGAUUAAUGUCUGCUGUGGGGUGGGAGGUUUCCUUAAAGCCGAUGGUAUCCCCCACCAAAUCACGCUGGCAAAGCUCAGAUAACAUUUCUCCCUUUUGAAAAACUCCUUGACUCAAGACUCAUGUCCCGAGUGCACUGCCUCACAAAGGCAAGACACAUUAACCACAUAUUUUAUCAAAACUGACUUGUUACUGACAUAAGGUCUCGUGGGCUCUGUUUCACCUUGUGACAAAAUGUUGUAGUGCAGCUAUGCUUGAUGUUGAAGAAAAUGCUGUCAUUUACCCACCUACUACACGGCAAAAACAAACAGCCCUUUUUCUCCUUUUCAUUGUUGGCAUGGUUACUGCGUUUUACCUCAAUGGGGUAGUAAGACACAGUAAUCUGUGUGUGUGUGUGUGUUCGUAGGUACCUGAUACUUUUUUAGUUUGUGGGGACAUAUUUUGGAUCCCCCACAAUAUAAACCUUAAUUUUACAGAAAUCUGUAACUGUAAUUAAAAACUAAUAUAGCUAAAAAGCCUUGCAUUUUGAUUGAUUACUUAUAGUUAAGGUUGUCACAGUUAGGGUUUUGCCUAUAGAAAUGAAUGGAGGAUCCGCACAAUAAUAGGAAUAUAUGAAAUGUGUGUGUGUGUGUGUAGGAUUUUCUAGGAAGAUUAAUUCAAUUAAGCAGGAUCAUGUGGGAAGACACCACCCCCCCCCCCCAACAAACCCCCCUUAAAAGUAACUUGUAUGCUUCAUUUAGUGCUCUUACGGCACUAAAACGAGCAUCAGUGGGAACAGAGUGGGGGGGGGGGGUGCUAUUUAUCUGUAUUUAUGUCACCGGACUUUUCUUUCCAGUUGUCAUGCCGACCAAACAAGGACAAACAGACCCGUGUGUCACACUGCAGUCAGAAACAGUGAUGUGAUGCAGUACAGCAGAGAUCCUCGGCUGAUUUCAGCGGCUAUUUGGCGAAAUGCACCAUCCGGGUUCCAGAUCAUCAAAGCGGCUUUGAUGUUGAUUGAGAGAAAAAUAGAAGGAAUCCCAACUGAAUUUACACUUAUUUAAAUUAGCUUGUCCCUUAAUUGAAUUGAAUUUUUUUUUAUUACAAAUUAAAAUUACAAUUGCAAAUAUA